AUUUAUGGCAAUGGGACAGAGGCCCAUGGGGACUCAUUUUGGAAAAUAAACUCAAAGUAAUGCAGGCAGAUUUUGAAUCUGUCCAUUUCAAGUGAGUCUGAUGUAAUACAUUUUUACCCUGUUUAUUGAUUAGUGUGCUAGAAAAUUAUUCUGUGCUCCUUUCUGUUGUGCAAUAGAUUUUGAGAGCAGGAGAACCAAGGUUGAUUAUUCGAUUGCCAAGUCUAAACUGAUGAACACGAGUUAUUCUAUCUGCCUCAAAAAGUAAUUGUCACCAAUGAAAGGAAAUUGCAGCUUCU